rnacentral:lncRNA from 1 species
CCAAUACAUACUAAACCCCAAAUAAAACAACCCAAAAUCUACCUAGCCCACCUCCCCAAUAAAUCCAAACAACCCAAAACAAAUAGAUCAAAACCCAACUACCAUGGCCCAAUUUUAGCCUACCCCAUCCCCAAUCAAAUCAGAAAACCCUAAUCCCUAUGUUUGGCGCCGCACCACCAACUCUCUGCCACCACCUGCCCACUGCAGCACCGCCCUAUCACAUCCACCGCCCUCUACACCUGCAAGGAAUUAAAAGGAAAGGACAGCAAACAGAAAAUAAUAAAAGGGAAAGCAUUUGUAAAAGGCUAUUAAAAGCCAUCAAAAGACAGUGUAAUGGGGGGGGGGAUUCUUGAUGAAUGAAUACAAUAGAUUCGGCCAAUUCAAUACCAAGCAAUAGAUUUCAUAUAUCAAAGACAAAUCUAAACAGUAAACACCAAAGCAGUGAACAUCAGAAUAUAAGAAUCGGAAUCGGAGAAAUAAGAGGUGACAUUCCGUCCUUUAAGUUUUAAAUCUUUUUUCUUUUCCUUUUUUUAUACAGGCUAAUAUAGACACAUAUAUAUAUAAACAACGAAAAAAGGAAAGAAAAAUUACCUUUUUUGAGGUUUCGACC